CGGCGUGCUUAACACAUGCAAGUCGAACGAGAAGAGAUGAGAAGCUUGCUUCUUAUUGAUUCGAGUGGCAAACGGGUGAGUAACGCGUAAGCAACCUGCCCUUCAGAUGGGGACAACAGCUGGAAACGGCUGCUAAUACCGAAUGCGUCUUUUUGUCGCAUGGCAGAGGGAAGAAAGGGUGGCCUCUACUUGUAAGCUAUCGCCUGAAGAGGGGUUUGCGUCUGAUUAGGUAGUUGGUGAGGUAACGGCCCACCAAGCCGACGAUCAGUAGCCGGUCUGAGAGGAUGAACGGCCACACUGGAACUGAGACACGGUCCAGACUCCUACGGGGGGCAGCAGUGGGGAAUCUUCCGCAAUGGGCGAAAGCCUGACGGAGCAACGCCGCGUGAGUGAUGACGGCCUUCGGGUUGUAAAGCUCUGUGAUCGGGGACGAACGGUCAGCAGACGAAUACUCUGCUGAAGUGACGGUACCCGAAUAGCAAGCCACGGCUAACUACGUG
rnacentral:rRNA from 1 species